rnacentral:rRNA from 1 species
UACGUAGGUGGCAAGCGUUGUCCGGAUUUACUGGGCGUAAAGAGCGCGCAGGCGGUCGAUUAAGUCGAGUGUGAAAGCCCCCGGCUCAACUGGGGAGGGUCACUCGAUACUGGUCGACUCGAAGGUGGGAGAGGGAAGUGGAAUUCCCGGUGUAGUGGUGAAAUGCGUAGAUAUCGGGAGGAACACCAGUGGCGAAGGCGACUUCCUGGCCCAUUCUUGACGCUGAGGCGCGAAAGCUAGGGGAGCAAACGGG